rnacentral:misc_RNA from 1 species
GAGAGAGAAACACCACAAGAGCAAACCAGAGGAGAGAGAGCCAUGGCCGCCACCCUCAGCACCUUCCUCUCCAACCCCCUCUCCACCAAGCCCCGCCUCCCCCUCCUCUCCGUCAAACCCCGUCUCUCCAUCUUCUGUUCCUCCAACCCAACACCCCAAACCAACCAAAACCAAGACCCCACCUCCUCUCUCAAGACCCUCUCCGCCGCGCUCGCCCUCUCCUCCAUCCUCCUCUCCUCCGCUGCUGCCCCACCCCCCGCCGCCGCCGACAUCGCCGGUCUCACCCCAUGCAAGGAGUCCAAAGCCUUCGCGAAACGUGAAAAGCAAUCUAUCAAGAAGCUAGAGUCCUCCCUCAAACAAUAUGCCCCCGACUCGGCCCCCGCACUCGCCAUCAAGGCCACCAUUGAGAAGACCAAGAAGCGGUUCGAGAACUACGGCAAAUUCGGCCUCCUCUGCGGGACUGACGGGCUCCCCCACCUUAUUGUAAGCGGCGAUCAGCGCCACUGGGGUGAGUUCAUCACCCCAGGAUUGCUCUUCCUCUACAUUGCUGGAUGGAUCGGGUGGGUCGGACGGAGCUACCUUAUCGCUAUCCGAGGGGACAAGAAGCCUACCAUGAAGGAGAUUAUCAUUGAUGUGCCGCUUGCUUCAGGACUAAUUUUCCGAGGCUUUAUCUGGCCUGUUGCUGCUUACCGAGAGUUGAUUAAUGGCGACCUUAUCGCCAAAGAUGGUGAUGUAACUGCCUAGUGAUCAAUGGCACAAUCAGAAUGGUACAAGACUGGGCUAGAAGCAGCAAAUCCUCAUUACUGCACUUGCUGGAGGAGAUGGUUGUGAGGACUCUUGUUUUGUAUCUAAGAUUUGCAGUUGUAGUUGUACUUUGUGGUUG